GACAGAGGGUGCAAACGUUGCUCGGAAUCACUGGGCGUAAAGAGCGCGCAGGCGGUCGUUCAAGUCGAGUGUGAAAGCCCCCGGCUCAACUGGGGAGGGUCACUCGAUACUGAUCGACUCGAAGGCAGGAGAGGGAAGCGGAAUUCCCGGUGUAGUGGUGAAAUGCGUAGAUAUCGGGAGGAACACCAGUGGCGAAGGCGGCUUUCUGGCCUGUUCUUGACGCUGAGGCGCGAAAGCUAGGGUAGCAAACGGG
rnacentral:rRNA from 1 species